CCGAUGUGGCAAAUGCAACGGAAUCGGGCCACUGUUUAUAGGCCUAGGCCCGUUUGGAAAGCCCAAUACAGCUCCCCGUCAGGCCCAACCCCCAAAAGGGCACGUGCUCGAACCGAUCCCAUUUUAGCGACGGCAAUCUAGGAUCUCUGCCCCGAGCCUCGUGGACGAUGAUUGGUCGUUUCAUUACCAGAAAAACGACCGGCGGAACGAUUCCGGUCGCGCAGCACUACCUCGCUCUCUGACUCUGUCCCUUCGAAGCUCUCCAUCAUCAUCUCGCAAUCGCGAGUAGAAGAUUCUCUCGCCCCCUUUUCGCAAUUCCCAGGGGGUUCUUUUUCUUCCGGCGGGAGUUCUUGGUUCGGUUUGGCGAGAGAUGUUUGGACCAGAUGGGGGUCCGUCGGAGCCGCGGCAGGUUCUUGAUUCCGCGAGCUCGUGCUGCUCUUCGGAGCCCCACGCGGGUCGUUCCAGACCGUGGUCGAUGGUCGUCAUCCGAGAGCCUGCCGUCGACGGCGACCCAGAUGGCAAAGGCGGGUUCUUGAGCGUGUUUCCUCCGAGCAACCAUGAGAAUCUGCACGUCCCCUCCGGACCCUGUGGAGAAGAGCGAAGCCCAUCUCCUGUUUUGCCUCCCUCCGCCGAUUCACUAUCCUCCCCUUCGCAAUUCUUCACUUCGUCGUCGUCGUCGUCGUCGUCCUCUUCUUCUCCUUCUUCGUGUUCGUCGUCCGACGUUGAUGAGGAGCUCCGAGAGGAGCCGCGGCCGCCGUCGGAUCCGGCGGCCCAGGUCCGAGAACCGGGUCGAGCCGCGGGCUUGCUGGGAUUCGGGUUUAGAGUGUUGGGUUCGAAGGUUCGUGGUGCUGUGAGCUCCUUCUUUGGCCGUAGCUCAGCGAGGGGAGGAUUGGUUUGGUUGUCUGUUGCUUCGGCGGCGGUGGUGCUGUGGUGGGUGUACGCGCGAUUUCGUUUGCUGCGCCUGAGGCACAGAGAGAGGGUGGAUGGUUUGAUGCGCGUGGUUAAAGAGCGAGACGAGAAAAUCGCCCAUCUCCUACAUCAAAUUGCUCAAAUGAAUGAGGUGUUGCUGUCGCGGCACAAAGUUUUGAGUUCCAAAUUGCCCGGAUGAGUAUGAAUCGGGACCUAUGGACACCAUUGUGGAGUAUGCAUCUUUUAUAAUCAACAUUCUUUUGUCUCAAGCAGGGCCAAACUUGCUGAAUUUAGUUGCUUCUCGCCUCCAAGCCCUCAGAACUGGAUGAUAAUUGCAGUAGUGCUUCCCUUUACAAGAUUGUGACUCCAAGCCCUCCGAACUGGAUGAUGAUUGCAGUAGUGCUUCCCUUUACAAGAUUGUGACACCAGAGGUUUAGAAGAACAUCGAGAAGGGAUCGCGGAUUUAGGCUUUGGAUAAGAUGUCUAGUCUUUGGAGCCUCGCAAUGGGUACACGUGCUUGGGGUCUACGCUGCUCAAGGCAUGCGGCUUGAAAAGGUUUCUAUUAAAGAACCAACACGGUUUUUCCACUACCUUGCAAUGCAAAAAUGUGGAAGAAAACUUUGUGGUAGGUAAGAUGUCGCAUUCGUUUUGCUGCUUCCAUAAGAAAAGGGGGGGAAAGAAAGGCACUUCAAUGGAGAAUCGGAUGGGUCAUCUGUAUUUUAAGGACUCUCUCUCCUUUGCUGAACAAAGUGGUCCCUCAUUUAAUCCUUUUUACCUAAAUGAGCCCACGAGACAGAAAUGUGUGGUUUAUUGAAAGUCCAUGAAGCCACCAACAAACAUUGAUCCCCAGUGAAGAGAACGACAACACUGUUUCAUUAAUCGCGUGUGACUUCGCACGAAAAAAAGUCGAAUUAAUUGCGCGUCCUGCAGAGGUGCUGCUCGAUCAAGACUUAAAGAUUUUGUUAACGAGUGCCGAUCUUGUCUAAUUAGAAAUUGGCGAUCUUGUAAGCAUUGAGUGUUUGUACCAGUUAAAAAGUGACAUAUCGAAAAUUACAAGCUUGUCGGCAUGAUGGCUAUAUCUGUUAUCUAACAAAGUCCUUGUCAAUCCCAGGAAAG